rnacentral:rRNA from 1 species
CAGUCGCCGCGGUAAUACGUAGGUGGCAAGGGUUGUCCGGAAUUAUUGGGCGUAAAGGGUGCGUAGGCGGCUUGACAAGUCUUGUGUGAAAUCUAUGGGCUCAACCCAUAGUCUGCACGGGAAACUGUCGGGCUUGAGUAUGGGAGAGGUGAGUGGAAUUUCCGGUGUAGCGGUGAAAUGCGUAGAUAUCGGAAGGAACACCUGUGGCGAAAGCGGCUCACUGGACCAUUACUGACGCUGAGGCGCGAAAGCUAGGGGAGCAAACAGGAUUAGAUACCCCGGUGUCCCUGUCUCUUAUACA